UUAGUUUCGUUUAGUUCGCAAAUCGCAUUGGAGCCCAUACCAUCCCUCCACGGAUUUUGGAGUUGUUACCAUCUAUUUUUUUUUAAGUGCCCUGUUCCUUGGAAGAGAAAAAAUUAAAAGGAAGGGGAAGUACAUAAGUUAAGUGAUUGUGGAUUUGUGCGCGCUGUGAUAUUUGCCUCCGUCAUUGGGGUCUUUGAACUGCUCCAAGCGUUCAGCACCCCCGCCCCCGCCCCCGCCCUCUGUACCGCCCACAGAAUACCCGAAAGCGGUAUCGUUUCGUUUUUUGGGCUUCGUGCAACUCCAAAAAAGUGUGACGGCGUCUGUUGUCCAUUAUCGCGAGGAGCUUUUCGCUUUGCCCGAUAACCGAUAAGUGCAGUAAACCCACCCCCUGAACCCCACAACCCCCCUCGCCACCAAAGGGCAAUCAGUUAUUGGCCCGCCGCCGCCGCUCUAAUGAACGUUGAACUGCAAAUUGCAAAAGCGUACGAAAAUAACAAACAAAUGCGAAAUUCGCUCUCUAGCGGGACAUCCGCGUCGCUCGCACACAUACAUGCGUGCAAAAUAAUGAGUGUAAUAAAUGGGUGCAUUCACCUCUGGAAUGGAAUAUGUAUGUAUGUACAUCUCUAUCUGGAUCUGGUGACUGUCUAUCGGGAGAUCACUGGCCAAUUCUUCUCUGAGUGCAGGGUCUCCUGUGUCUGCUGUAUCUGUGCCUGGGCAGAAAUAGAAACAUCGCGAAUGGAGCAGAAGCAAGUGGGAGAAGAAAGGAGAUUGGAGAAUGACAGAGACGGAGACAGAAGGAAAAGACUGCAGAGUGGAGAAUGGAGAAGAGUUAUCUCCUAGCCUUUGUGCCUGUGCCAUUUGUUUGUCUAUCCGGCUUUUGGCCUUGGAGUAACCGUUUCCGAGAACUUGGGAACUCGCCCCAAUGUGUGUGUGUAUCACUUGGAAGAAAGAACUUUAUAAUACUUUCUGUAUUGGCAAUACCAUUUUUUUCUAACUAAGAGGAUCCGAAUGGUGGAGGAGGGAAAAGAAGUGCAGUUCGUGGUAUUUCAAACAGGAAUCUGUUCCGCGUUGGCCGCUGAUCCAUUGAUCACGUUUGGAACGGCUGCAGAUCGGAGCAGCUGUCGGAUCGGAGAUUACUCAUGCAAAGAUUGGGAAUGGAGCGGGAAUGGAGCAUCUCCGGAGCGGAAGUGGCGCACGUCGCUCUCCGGGCCACCGAGCUCGAUUUAGUCAUGCAUCUAGCGGCAUGCACGGCGAAGACUCUCUUCCGGUCUUUGCAUUCUGCAGUCUACAUUCUGCUCGAUGCUCGCUGCACUCUACCCGCUGCGCCAAUAGCCAAGAUUUGUCUUGGUCUCUUUGGGGCGGCAGACCGUACAUUCAACGUACUUAAAUCACGCGGCGGUCAAUCGGCAUUCGAGUUAUGCAACAUUCUCGGAAGCGAGCGCACCCAGCGACCUUUUAAGCGCGUCUGCCCCGCUCCAAGUCAACACUGCCACUCCAGAGCUGACCGCGGUAGCAGUCAAGGUUCCACAAAAAUACAUAGGAAUUGGAAUAGGAAUACUAAGGAUACCAGCAGACCUCCAUAACCCUCAACUCCAAUCAGAUGAGCCCAAGGUAACGACGUCAUAUUGUUUCCAGUCGAAAUCCAAGCUAUUUGAAGAAGAGUGCCCACCAUGACGCACUGCCUCUGGUCGACGAUGCUGGCCCUCCUGGCCCUGCUCUCCGUGGCGACCUGUCGCUCGGUGCGCCAGCUGCCAAGUGCAUAUUCGCAUCCGGCCGUGCUGCCCGGCGGAUACUAUGGACAGCCGCCCUACGCUUACCCCCCGCCCUACGGCUAUGGGUACCAGGCGCCACCCCCACCGCCACCCGUUUACAGCCCCUACUACGACAACGUUUUCGGAGUCUACAAGAGCUACCCCGGCGGCGGAUAUCCCGUGCGGUUUGAUUAUAACAAUCGUUGCUCUCGGAACUACAUUGGCAUCAAGCCCCAUCCGGAUCAGCAGCAGUACUACUAUGUCUGCAAGCCGAAUUGUGUGAUUUUCAGCAAAUGUCGCGACCUUGAGAGUUUCAGUUCGAGCAGCGGACGCUGCGUGCAGCACAUUCCCCAGCACAGUCUGGACCACAGUCCGCCGCAGUGCCAGAAGGAGGGCCGCUUUCCACAUCCCCACGACUGCAAGGUGUACUACAGGUGCGACAAAAACCGGACGCAGCCCUGGCUUUUCGCCUGUCCCGCGGGCACCAUUUUCUCGCCGGUAGAGCGCAAGUGUCUGCCCGGUGACCAGUGCCCCUCGACGGAGAUAUCGAACAGUGGCAGCUACAUUCCACAGAACUGCGAGCUCAAGUUCCCCGAGUGCGCCGGCGAGGGCACCUUCCGCUCGCCGACGGACUGCGCCCUAUACUACACAUGUCGAUUGCAGGACAGCGGUACCUACUUGCAGACGCGCUUUAAAUGCCCCGGCAGCAAUAGUUUUGACACCGAGCGGAAACUGUGUCGUCCGCGCAACGAAGUCGAUUGCUUCGACUAUGUCCCGGCACCACAGCCAUACUAUCCACCCUAUCAAGCGCCACCGCUCUUCGAGGAGGACGACUACGAUACAGAUACAGAUGACAAGGAACAGCAGCCUGCUCUUAAGUCGGGAGGGUUUGAAAGACCCUCGGUAAAUGUGGUUAUUCUGCCCACAAAGACCACACCAACGACCACAACCACAACGGAGCGCACCACUGCCUAUUACAAAUACGACAAUUAUCACUCAUAUGACUAUUCUUCACAUCAUAACAAAAAAGAAGAACCGUCAGCAGAAAGCCAAAAGGUUGAGAAAUCGGAAGCCUUGGGCAGACUUAAGCUGUCUGAGCACGUUGUACUCCUGCCCACUACACCGGCGACUACGACUACCAAGCUUGAGUCCUCAAAGGAAACCACCAAGUAUCAACACAAAAGAUACACCUAUGCAACUGAGAGUCCGAAAACCAAACCUGCAUUAAAUGGCUUGCACCUUUCGGAAAAUAUUGUUGUUCUGCCCACGACGACCACAACGACGACCACCACGACUACGCCAAAACCAACAGUUCCGACUUGCCCCACCAUACCAACGCCAAGUACAACAGUCACGACUCCGAUAACGUCUACGACUACAACCACUACUCAGAGUCCAAAACCAACGACUCAGGAAACCUCAACAGUUACCGAAAAAACUACCACACCGACUCCGAAAACUACUGUUGUGACAACGACGACUCGGAAACGAAGCACGACCACUGACAAAUCGUCACCAGUUACGAAAACCACAAAAAAGGCAACAACAACUACUCCUAAAACCACAACAAGUACAGAAAAACCCACUACUCUGAAAACAACAACAGUGAAAACAACUACUGAAAAACCAACAACGACUACGCAGAAAACGUCAACAGUUACUUCUACCACCAAAGAAACAACAGAAAGUUCACCUAAGCCUACAACAAGUACCGAAACACCAACCACGACUACUAAAAAAAUCUCUACAGUAAGUACGACUACAGAAAAACCAAAAAGUACUACUCCAAAUCCUACAACAACCACACAGAAUACCACACCGACAACUCAGAAGCCAACUACUGUGACUACCACUACGCGAAGGCCUACAACUACUUCCCAGGAAACCUCAACUAGCCAGAAAACAACAACGAAUACUCCCAAACCUACAACAACUACCCUGAAAACAACAACGAGGGAUUUGAGCACAACUAAAGUGGUAUCCACUACCACGAAACCUACCACGACAACUCAGAAAAUCUCUACUAUAACUACGACCCAGAAACCAACAACGACAACCCAAAAGCCAACUACAGUAACAACCACUACUAAAAAACCAAUAACGACAACUCAGAAAACGUCAACAGUUACUACUACCACCGAAGUGUCCACACAAAGUUCUCCUAAACCCACAACGAGUACGGAAAAACCUACCACUACUACUCAAAAAACCUCUACAAUAACUACGACGACUCAAAAACCGACCAAUACUACACCUAUUCCAACUUCAACGACCCAAACAACAACAACAACAACUGCAAAGCCAACUUCAGUGACAACGACUACUCAAAAACCAACAACGACCACUCCGAAAACUUCAACAGUUACUACUACCACCCAAAAAACAACAGAAAUUUCUACUAAGCCGACAACGAGUACCGAAAAACCAACCACGACUACUCGGAAAAGAUCUACAGUAACUACAACCACUCAAAAACCGACAACUUCUACGUCUAAGCCUACAACGACUACUCAAAAACCUACAACCACGACCGAGGUAACAACAACGACGACUCUGAAGCCAACUACUGUGACAACCACUACUCAGAAACCAACAACGACCACUCCGAAAACGUCAACAGUUACUACUACCACCCAAAAAACAACAGAAAGUUCUCCUAAGCCCAUAACUACGACUACAAUAACUACGACAAGUCAAAAACCGACAACUAGUACUCCAAAACCUACAACAACGACGACUCCGAAGCCAACUACUGUGACAACCACUACUCAAAAACCAAUAACGACUACUGAGAAAUCAUCAACAGUUAAUUCUACCACCAAACAAUCAACAGAAAGUUCUCCUAAGCCCAUAACAAGUACCGAAAAACCAACUACGACUACAAUAAGUACGACCAGUCAAAAACCGACAACUAGUACUCCAAAACCUACAACAACGACGACUCCGAAGACAUCUACUGUGACAUUCACUACGCAGAAACCAAUAACGACCACUCCGAAAACGUCAACAGUUACUACCUCCACCACGAAAACAACAAGUACCGAAAACCCUACCACUACUACUUUAAUAGUCUCUAGUACGACCUCUCAAAAACCAACAACAUCUACUCCGAAACCUACAACAACUAGUGUGACAACCACCACUCAAAAGUCAACAACGACCACUCUGAAAACCUCUACAGUAACCACGACCUCACCAAAACCAAGCACAAGUACACUAAAACCGACCACUACUACUGGAAAAUCGACAACAGUUACGGCAACAAGCACGAGUAUCGCCACCACGAGGAAUCCAACAACCAUUCCCGCGCAAAACUCCACCACCACGACUGAGCUGACCACUGUCACGCGACCGCACUGUCCCGAUCCCGACUCCACCUCAGAUAACAACACAAAUCCCGCAUGCACACAAGAACUCCGACAAGUCAAACAACUUCAACUACACUCACAGCAAAAACCUGAAGAACUCAACCACAGACAAGCCAGCAUAGAUUUAAUUGAAAGUAGGAAUGUUUUGGGUGGGCGGGAUGAGUCCGACUACAUGGACGAUGCACCAUCUUCUGGGGAGGGGGAAUCUGGGCAGGCGACAACAGCUAGACCUUCGACCAUGUCCACGCUGGCCGCUGCCCACCUGCUGCAGAAACUCUUCCACAUAAUCUCCACCACGCCGCCGAGCAGGGAGCACUCUUCUAGCCCACGUCCGCCCAGUCAGCAAUCCUCCUCCAGCCAGCGUACGCCUGGCGUGACCCUUUCCCAGAUGGCCAGGCACAACCUCGCCACCUCCAAGCCCUUCAUCGCCCACUCCCUGCGGCUAUCUAUCCAGCAGCUGGCCGCCCCCACCCAGAAGCGUUCCAUCCAGCCCCAGGCGCUCGUGUCACUGAACACCACCAAGAAGGAGCCGGAGGACUCCGAGUACUACGACAGCGAGUACGCAGAUGAGGACAAUGAAGUGCUGACGAUAACUCAGCCGAAGGCCAUGGCCAGCACCACGGUGGCUGCAGUUCUUCCGGCUCCGUCUUCGACCACUGAGCGGGAGCGUCUUGAGACUACUUCCUUGCCAAGUCAGACCAAGUCUGUUUCCAGUUCCACCACAGCUCAGCCGACGACCACUGGUGACCUGGAGUACGGCGACAGCUCUGCGGACUCUGACUAUCCCAACGAUGGGAAUGAGGUUCCGAAUAGUGUGGUCACGAGCCUGGAAGCCAGGAAGAGCUUCUUGCUGAGCCUGCUGAAGGAGCGGCUGACUCGAGUGGAGGACAAGAAGUCAUCGCCAAUGUCAACCACAGCUGCUCCUCAGACAACUCGUCCUACGAAGAGCACAACUUCCAGCACGAGUUCAACCACAAGGUCUGAAACGACUACGAGUACGCCGUCACCUACAUUUGCACCGACUCGAGCCAGGAAUUCGACACAUCUAAGCUCGGAAUACUAUGAUGAGGAUGAGGACUAUAUGGAAGACGAGCCGGCUAAUUCUUCUGAUUUUGAGAACAAAGAAGGGGGCACAGGAUUACAAGCCAAGAAGCCACCAGCAGCCACGGCCAAGAGGCACGUUGCUCUGAUGCAACAUAAAAUGGCCACUUGGGAUGCGAAAAACGACGGGCAAUCGAAGACCACAACCGGUGGUGUUCUCUUUAAGGGACUGGCAAGCGGGGAUAGUCAGUUUCCCUCCAAAAUUCCUCUCAUCCAGGCACUAGGAACCAAGGGUGUUGCUAGCCAGGUUCUAAACAGAAAUGUUCCCGACAAAGUUGGGCUUCCGGCGAGGCUACCAAUUCCACACACAUUAAUGCAAACAACGAUAACAAAUAGAAUACCUACAAUCGAAACAUCUACUCCAAAACCAUCAUCAACAACCACAAAAACAUUAACAGCACGACCAACAUUCAUGGCCAGUCAACUGGUGAAAGCGUUAGAAAAACGAAAAUUAGAGGCAAUCACUCAGAGAACAAUAGAAAAAGUCACACCGACCACAUCGGAAACACUGCCCAUAGCAUCGGCGGUACUCUCAUCUGCGAUGGUGCCAUCGGCCACCUCCAGAGGGCGCCAAAAUGCCGUGCUGUCGGUGAACAGAAGACCGUGGUUGCUGGCGGCCCGCAACCAAACGGUCCACCUAACACCAAUCUCAUCCAAUGACACCACCGACCCAGUGAGCCCCGUUAACCCUACCUUCAAUCCACUAGUGUCCAGCCCCGAGGACUAUCCCACCGAGAAGGUGCCGCAGCUCAUCGUUAAGGUGUACGAGCCCAUCGACCUGAAGAUCGUCUUCUGUCCGAAGUCCUGCGACCAGGACCACGACCACAAAUACGGAAGGAACCAUUCUGAGGAAUUCAGCAAGCGAAAAAAAAUGUUUGACGAAGAUUACGAAGAAUGGAAUUGACAUGUUUAAUCUGUUGCAACAUACAUUGAUAAUUGCCUGCAAAAACAGAUUGUUUCCAGUGCUCGGUUAUGGACGGGCCAGAUCGGAAUGAACUUGAAAUAAAAGCCAGAAACGCACUAAUGUCCUUCGACGACUGGACUGGCAAAUAAAAAGUUUGCCGCUACAGUGCCCCCACUUCCGCUGCGGUGGUCUCAUGUGCGCGGCGACAAAGUUUUUAUUCCUUUGUUUAGAAUAAGCACAAGUGCGCACGUGUUCCGUUUGAGUCCGCUUUAGUGCAGCAGGGGCGGAUUGGAGGCUGGGAGGCUCAGAGGAGGCUGGGAAUGGGUCUGCGCCUGCGAUGCCGUUAAAUUUUAAUGCGCCCGUAUCGAUAUGCGUGCAUGGACCGCCCGCGCCAGCGGAAUCUAUAAAAGCCAAACUCGCGUGUCACCAUCACCAUCGCCACCUCCAUCCGGCGAUUCCUAUUCCCUCUAAUGCCGCCUGGUUGCCGGUGGUAGCUGCGAGUCGUGAUAAGGCAAUUGGCAUCUGGAGGUUAGUUGCUGGGCCAAGGAGGCAGGCAGCUGCACUCGCCUAUGAAUAUCCCAUGAGCUCACGCACUCCAACAUUUGCUCGUACUUUGCAUAAAUUCGCAAUGUCGCGACUUCUAAUCAAUAGCAUCGAGUUGGGAGAACCGAAGUGGAGUCGAAUUUGAAGAAAAAAAAAGCCCAGCCGUCACCGAAACUAUAUGAAGGAUGAAAAAAGCAUUGAUUUCAGUCAACUGGCAAGGAAAACAAAAGGAAAAUUGAAUUACAAAAUACAUUAUAAAUGACUUGUUUCACUAAUUUAAUAAACAGGAAUAUAUUUAA